AAAGCUUUAAAUUACUACUUUAAAGGGUUACUACACCCCAAAAUCACCAUCAGGCAGUCACCUGAUGGUAGGACCAUCAACCAAAUCGACCAUAUCAUCAUUAACGGUAAAUGGCGCAGGUCACUGCAAGAUGUUAGAGCCUACCGAGGUGCAGAUGCCUAUAGCGACCACUACCUAAUUGCUGCCACCAUUAAACUCAAGUUGAAGAAGUUAAUCCCACAAGGCCAUUGGCAGAAGAAACUGGACAUUGCAAAGCUCCAACAUCCUAAGAAAAACAAGGAGUUUGUGUUGGAACUCAGAAACCGCUUCAGCACGCUAGAGGCUUCCUGUGAAAUAGAAGAAGAACCCAGCAAAUGGAAUGCUAUCAAAACCAUAUAUUCUGAAACAGCACAAAAAGUCCUGGGCUUCAAACAGAAAGGGGCUAAUGAAUGGAUAUCCGCUAACACUUGGCUGAAAAUCGAAGAGAGGAAAGAGCUGAAGGCAAAGUUGCUGAACAUCAAGUCCCAACGACUCCUCGAGAAAACCAAGAUGUCCUAUAAAAACAAGGACAGAGAGGUGAAGGGGAGUGCUAGAAAAGAGAAAAGGGUCUUUGUUGAACACCUGGCAAGUGAAGCUGAGAAAGCUGCAGCCUAUGGAAAUCUGGGCACAGUGUACAAAAUCACAAAGCGACUCUGUGGCAGAUGCACAAACCAAACUACCCAUGUUAUGGACAAGAAUGGCAACAUCUGUACAUCAGAGAGUGAACAAGCAGCCAGAUGGGUUCAACACUUCCAGGAAAUACUCAACCUCCCUGAACCUGAACAACGAGCCAAUAUCACAACAAUAGAGGAUAUCCUGGAAAUCAACACCAACCCCCCUGACUCUGCUGAAGUUAAAGCUGCCAUUCAAACCCUGAAAAGUGGUAAGGCAUGUGGCAUAGAUGCUAUUCAUGGCGAGAUGCUUAAGGCUGACAUUCUAACAUCAACAAUAGUGCUGACGGACCUAUUCCAAAACAUCUGGAACAGUAACACCAUCCCUGAAGAUUGA
ensembl:lncRNA